rnacentral:lncRNA from 1 species
CUAUAAAAAGGAGAAGUGAUGUACAAGAUGGUAAUUUUGCCACAUGUAUCAAUUUUAAAACAACAUGUACAAGACCAUUGUUCUUCAAAGUUUUAAGACACUGUAGGGUUAAUCUUGGGAUUUCACAUGGAAUUCUAAUAAAAGCGUGUAAUAAUUUGAGGAUCAAACUGGCGUCUCUUGAUUUCCCCUGAAUUGGUGAUUCGCCGUUUAUCUCUUGAAACCCUACAGUAGUAUAUCUGCUUAAUGCUUUCAUCGCCAUUUCCUCCUUCCAUUCCAAUUUAAAACUCCUGAUGAUGUUUGAAGCCGAGAAGAAACAAGAAACGGGGACGACGAUGACGAUGUGCACUCAGAUAAUGGUUCUAGAAAAUGUGAUCUCUAAAUGGGUAUGCCACUUCUGAAAUAAUGAUUUACUUAUAUGUGUACAACUAUGCUAUUGUUUAUAAGAGGACAAGUCGGCCUACAAGCCCUUUAACAAAGGGGCAGUGAUCUGCAAAAGAGGAUGAAAUAUUAUGUAAAGUUAUUCAGCAGCUCAAUGGCUGGAACUAAAAAAAUAGAUCAUAGAAAUUCUGAAGCUUGGGUUUUUCUCAUCUUAUAUCUUUAACUUGGAUUUUCACUUUCCUUUCUUCCAAUGGCUGCCUAAAGCAGAGUGAGUUCUUUUCUUUGAUACUUUUACUGGUUAUUGUAAACAUCCGUUUUUGUCAGACAAUGAAUUUUGUUUUCGUAUGCAAAUUAGGUUUUUUUUGGAGUUGUGUUGUGUUUGUUUGGAUCCUAGGGUGGGUCAAAUUGGAUAGUAUUUGGUUUCAUUUAUUUAAAACAGGAAGAAAAUUUAUGGAUGGCCACAACUGGGGAUACCGCUGUUGCAACAUUCAUCAAUAUGCUCAUUUUUUAGGCUAAAGAGUGUGGAUGAGGGUAGUCCCUUGUGGAUAAUCUGCCACGUAGGCGUUCACAUCAGCGGGUAUGGGGGAUGAGCCUAAAGGGAUGGGCCUAGGGUGUGGGGAUGACGAGCCCAAGGGGGCGGUUUUGCUUGUCCAAGCCGGAGGUCGAUGGGCAUGGGACGAGCCCCACACUCUGCAGCCUUAUAGCAUUUGUUGUUCUCCGGAUUCAACCUGUGAAUGUCAGAGUAUAAUUCCAAAGUGGUGUCUCAAGGGUUUACGAUAUUGCAAUGGAGGCAGUAUCUGAGAUCCCGAGCUCUGUUCACCCUCUUAUUUCUUUCUUGUUGGUUGAGUGGGAAAGCAAGGAGGUUGGGUGGUUUGGGUAAUGGGUCAAAACUGGUAACUUUUUGGUAUAAUUUCAGGAUUUUAUUGUGAACUCGAAAGCAAUACAGUUUUUUAUGUCUCAAUAGCAGCCCGUUGUACCGAGCCGGAAGUUUUGAUCUUUCUUAACCGUGGCUAUGGCAUGGGAUGCAAUGUCUCUUUUACACCUUACGGGUUGCAUUAAGGCUUGUGAAGGCAGGAUCUGCUGUUUAUGGUAUUGAUGGUCAUGGGAAGUCUUCUUGGAUUCAGGGCUAUAUCCCCUCUUUUGAUGAUAUGCUCUAUUAAUGCAACAGAGAAGUCACAUUAUAUAUUCUUGGCAUUCAUCCGCUUCAGUAUAAGGUUAUCAGGCUGUUUUGGGUUUAGUGGUGCAUCAGGAGACGAUCGAUGGUUGGGCUUGCAAGGUGGAAAGCGCCCCUGUGUGGAUCAACCAUCAGAAACUGCUGAUGAUGAUGCUGCCUUUGAAUACACAAAUGGGCUGGACCCAGAGUACCCGGUAUCACUUCUAAAGUGGAGGAUCCAUCAGCUGGUGCCAAAGUUGAAAAUCAUCUGUCGCCAGCAGAUUCUUAAAUUUACGGAUCCUUUGGGUUGCAAGGAUACUUAUUAAUAUUUCAAAUGUUUUGGUCAAAUUCGGGAUCAUCACUUGGUCAUAUAUUCAUGCCCUAUAUUAUCGACUCCGCCGCAACGCGCGGGUCUCCCACUAGUGUUCAAUAAUGUUUCUAAAAAGACACGUACUGAAGAUUAAUUUAUAUACCUUGAGAUUUAAGUUUUCAACGAGCACAUUGACAUGGAGU